AAGCGGAGGAAAAGAAACUAACAAGGAUUCCCUUAGUAACUGCGAGUGAAGUGGGAAGAGCUCAAAUUUAAAAUCUGGUAGUCCUAUAAGGCUGCUCGAGUUGUAAUCUAAAGAAGUGCUGCCCGCGCUAGAAUCUAUGUACAAGUCUCCUGGAAUGGAGUAUCAUAGAGGGUGAGAAUCCCGUCUCUGACAUGGGCUUUCUGGGGCUUUGUGGCAUGCUCUCAAAGAGUCGAGUUGUUUGGGAAUGCAGCUCAAAAUUGGUGGUAAAUGCCAUCUAAAGCUAAAUACAGGCGAGAGACCGAUAGUGAACAAGUACCGUGAGGGAAAGAUGAAAAGAACUUUGGAAAGAGAGUUAAACAGUACGUGAAAUUGCUGAAAGGGAAACGCUUGAAGUCAGUCUCAUCAGCUUGGAAUCAACCUUUGCUUCUGCUGGGUGCACUUCCUUGAUUCUGAUGGGUCAGCAUCAAUUUUGGCCACUGGAAAAAGGCUGUAGGGAAUGUGACAUCUCUUUGUGGAUGUGUUAUAGCCCCAUGGUCAUAUGCAGUGGUUGGGAUUGAGGAACUCAGCAUGCCCGCAAGGGCUGGGUUUUUAUUAAAACCACAUCUCAUGCUUAGGAUGGCUGGCAUAAUGGCUUUAAGCGACCCGUCUUGAAACACGGACCAAGGAGUCUAACAUGCCUGCGAGUGUUUGGGUGGAAAAACUCAUGCGCGCAAUGAAAGUGAAAGUUGGGAUCCCUGUUGUUGGGGAGCACCGACACCCGGACCAGACCUUUUGCGAUGGAUCUGCGGUAGAGCAUGUAUGUUGGGACCCGAAAGAUGGUGAACUAUGCCUGAAUAGGGUGAAGCCAGAGGAAACUCUGGUGGAGGCUCGUAGCGAUUCUGACGUGCAAAUCGAUCGUCAAAUUUGGGUAUAGGGGCGAAAGACUAAUCGAACCAUCUAGUAGCUGGUUCCU
rnacentral:rRNA from 1 species